rnacentral:rRNA from 1 species
GAUGAACGCUGGCGGCGUGCCUAAUACAUGCAAGUCGAGCGAACAGACGAGGAGCUUGCUCCUCUGACGUUAGCGGCGGACGGGUGAGUAACACGUGGAUAACCUACCUAUAAGACUGGGAUAACUUCGGGAAACCGGAGCUAAUACCGGAUAAUAUAUUGAACCGCAUGGUUCAAUAGUGAAAGACGGUUUUGCUGUCACUUAUAGAUGGAUCCGCGCCGCAUUAGCUAGUUGGUAAGGUAACGGCUUACCAAGGCAACGAUGCGUAGCCGACCUGAGAGGGGGGACCGCCACCCUGGAACUUGGGCCCCGUCCAGGCUCCUAAGGGAGGCAAGAGGUAGGAAUCCUCCGGAAAGGGGGGAAGGCUGACCGAAGAAACGCGGGUUGAUUGAUGAAGGCCUUCGGAUCGUAAACCCCUGUUAUAGGGAAAGAAAAAAUGUGUAAGUACCUAUGACCGCUUGACGGGUACCUAACAAGAAGGCCCGGCUAACUUCCGU